rnacentral:rRNA from 1 species
UGCGAUAAGUAAUGUGAAUUGCAGAAUUCAGUGAAUCAUCGAAUCUUUGAACGCACCUUGCGCCCUUUGGUAUUCCGAAGGGCACGCCUGUCUGAGUGUCGUGA